rnacentral:rRNA from 1 species
AGGGGCUUAUCAUAGUUACCGUCAUAUUCUUCACUUAUAAAAGCAGUUUACGACCCGAAGGCCUUCAUCCUGCACGCGGCGUUGCUCCAUCAGGCUUUCGCCCAUUGUGGAAGAUUCCUCACUGCUGCCUCCCGUAGGAGUCCCCCCGUGCCCCCGCCCCGCCCGCCGCGCGCGGCGGGCGGGGGGGGGGCACGGGGGGACUCCUACGGG